rnacentral:rRNA from 1 species
UACGGAGGAUGCAAGCGUUAUCCGGAAUGAUUGGGCGUAAAGCGUCCGCAGGCGGCUGUGUAAGUCUGCUGUUAAAGAGUGAGGCUCAACCUCAUAAAGGCAGUGGAAACUACAUGGCUAGAGUGCGUUCGGGGCAGAGGGAAUUCCUGGUGUAGCGGUGAAAUGCGUAGAGAUCAGGAAGAACACCGGUGGCGAAAGCGCUCUGCUAGGCCGCAACUGACACUGAGGGACGAAAGCUAGGGGAGCGAAUGGG